UGAGGAAUAUUGGUCAAUGGGCGGCAGCCUGAACCAGCCAUCCCGCGUGAAGGAAGAAUGCGCUAUGCGUUGUAAACUUCUUUUUCAGGGGGAUAAAAUUCUGUAUGUAUACAGGACUGAAGGUACCCUGAGAAUAAGCAUCGGCUAACUCCGUGCCAGCAGCCGCGGUAAUACGGAGGAUGCGAGCGUUAUCCGGAUUUAUUGGGUUUAAAGGGUGCGUAGGCGGAAUAAUAAGUCAGUGGUGAAACCCUGCAGCUUAACUGUAGACUUGCCAUUGAUACUGUUUUUCUUGAGUAUGGUCAAGGCAGGCGGAAUGUGUAAUGUAGCGGUGAAAUGCUUAGAUAUUACACAGAACACCGAUAGCGAAGGCAGCUUGCUGGGCCGUUACUGACGCUGAUGCACGAAAGCGUGGGGAUCGAACA
rnacentral:rRNA from 1 species